rnacentral:rRNA from 1 species
UCGUGAGAUGUUGGGUUAAGUCCCGCAACGAGCGCAACCCUUGCCAUUAGUUGCUACAUUCAGUUGAGCACUCUAAGGGGACUGCCGGUGACAAACCGGAGGAAGGUGGUGAUGACGUCAAGUCCUCAUGGCCCUUAUGGGUAGGGCUACACACGUCAUACAAUGGCGCCUACAGAGGGUUGCCAACCCGCGAGGGGGAGCCAAUCCCAGAAAGCGCGUCGUAGUCCGGAUUGAAGUCUGCAACUCGACUUCAUGAAGUCGGAAUCGCUAGUAAUCGCGGAUCAGCAUGUCGCGGUG